rnacentral:rRNA from 1 species
AUGGCGACCGCGCUGGCGGGCUGCGCCUGGCCUUCGGUGCCCUCUAAGCUCUACAUGCCUUUCACCUUGCGUUGCCUAUGGUGUGCCCCUGCCAUGUCAGAAAAAACCUUGCUGGGUCAUGUGAAUGGUGUGAAAUGGAAUAGAAAGAAAAUUCUUGUGCUUGCACAGAGUGGAAGCGAAUGUGAUCGGGGGGUCACCGUCAAGAGAGUGCUUCCUUGGCUCGUUACCAAAGGAAAAUGGCUCACAAGUAGCUGGAUUUUUUUAUGUGAAGAUGCAUCAGUGCAUUUUAGGACUCGACGAGUUGUGUGGGCUCACGGAAAAUUGGCUUCCUCGCGUCGAUGUGCUGCUUGCUUUCUUCUUUGUAUUUGUUCAAGGUGA